UACAGAGGGUGCGAGCGUUGUUCGGAAUUAUUGGGCGUAAAGGGCGCGUAGGCGGUGCGGUAAGUCACCUGUGAAAUCUCCUGGCUCAACUGGGAGCUUGCAGGCGAAACUGCCGUGCUGGAGUGUGGGAGAGGUGCGUGGAAUUCCUGGUGUGGCGGUGAAAUGCGUAGAUAUCGGGAGGAACACCUGUGGCGAAAGCGGCUCACUGGACCACAACUGACGCUGAGGCGCGAAAGCUAGGGGAGCAAACAGG
rnacentral:rRNA from 1 species